rnacentral:rRNA from 1 species
CACACCGCCGUCACAUCACGAAAGUGGAUUGUACUAGAAGUCGGUGGGCUAACCCGCAAGGGAGGCAGCCGCCAUGGUAUGGUCGGUGAUUGGGUG